CCUAACGACCUAAUUCCAAGCUCUGAUACAAACUUAAUUUGUCACGCCCCGGAUUUUCACAUUUUUUCGGGCACGCCAACAGACUCGCCGUAUACAUAGAAAAUUUUCAUGUAUACAAAUCAAUAGCUGUACCUGCAACCGAAAAAGAGCUACAACAAAAGUCCAGAGCUGCUAAAAUAAACACAUAUAAAUAUAUCAAACAAAAUGGCUUCACUGUACAUACACAGGUCCACAACAACUCCUCGCUCCAGUAAUUAUCACAACAACAUAAUAGUAUGUACCCAAAACCCAAAACUACCUCUGACGGGUGCUCCUCUAGCAAACGACCAGGGAAGGGGCGGCUCUAGCUCACGAUUCUCUUGCCUCGGUCAGAAUCCACAACAGCAGCAGCCAUAGACGAAGGCUCUGCAAAAUGGUGUCAACAACUGGGUGUGAGAACUACUACAAAACAGAGUAGUCCUGAAUGGGUACCGUCGCCAAUCUCAACGGCCCACCCACUAAGUCUACAGUAAUGAUAUGCACAGGAUAGUAAGGAAAGCUGGAAAAACUCUACAGCUACAUGUCUCUAUACUAUCGCUACCAAAACCAACUAACUGUAGACAUAAAUAUGCAUCACCGGCUACCACUGACCCAAUCUUACACGGGCUGCCCAAAUGGACCCACCCUGUCUGUAAC
rnacentral:lncRNA from 1 species